rnacentral:hammerhead_ribozyme from 1 species
AUCCAGAUGAUGAGUCCAAAAAUAGGACACAACACACGUCCUGGAU